ensembl:lncRNA
UGAGAGAGGCUAGGGUGUGAGAGAGAGAGGCUGGGGUGUGAGAGAGAGAGAGAGGCUGGGGUGUGAGAGAGAGAGGAGGCUGUGGGUGUGAGAGAGAGAGAGGAGGCUGGGGUGUGAGAGAGAGAGAGAGGAGGCUAGGGUGUGAGAGAGAGAGAGGCUAGGGUGUGAGAGAGAGAGGAGGCUAGGGUGUGAGAGAGAGAGAGGCUAGGGUGUGAGAGAGAGAGGAGGCUAGGGUGUGAGAGAGAGAGGAGGCUAGGGUGAGAGAGAGAGGAGGCUAGGGUGUGAGAGAGAGAGGAGGCUAGGGUGUGAGAGAGAGAGGAGGCUAGGGUGUGAGAGAGAGAGAGGAGGCUAGGGUGUGAGAGAGAGAGGAGGCUAGGGUGUGAGAGAGAGAGGAGGCUAGGGUGUGAGAGAGAGAGGAGGCUAGGGUGUGAGAGAGAGGAGGCUAGGGUGUGAGAGAGAGGAGGCUAGGGUGUGAGAGAGAGAGGAGGCUAGGGUGUGAGAGAGAGGAGGCUAGGUGAGAGAGAGAGGAGGCUAGGGUGUGAGAGAGAGAGGAGGCUAGGGUGUGAGAGAGAGAGGAGGCUAGGGUGUGAGAGAGAGGAGGCUAGGGUGUGAGAGAGAGGGAGGCUAGGUGGGAGAGAGAGGAGGCUAGGUGGGAGAGAGAGGCGGCUAGGGUGGGAGAGAGAGGCGGCUAGGUGGGAGAGAGAGGCGGCUAGGUGGGAGAGAGAGGCGGCUAGGUGGGAGAGAGAGGCGGCUA